GGAUGGUGGACUUGAUAUUCCUCAUGGUGAGAAGAGGUUUGCUGGAUUCAGCAAAGAUUCCAAGCAACUUGAUGCUGAGGUUCACCGCAAGUAUAUAUAUGGUGGCCAUGUUGCAACAUAUAUGAAGACUUUGAUCGAAGAUGAACCUGAGAAAUAUCUGUCUCACUUUAGUGGGUACAUUAAGCGGGGUCUUGAGGCUGAUAAUCUCGAAGAGAUGUACAAGAAGGUUCAUGCU
rnacentral:misc_RNA from 1 species